AACGAACGCUGGCGGCACGCCUAAUACAUGCAAGUCGAGCGAGAAGACGUAGCAAUACGUUUGUAAAGCGGCGAACGGGUGAGGAAUACAUGGGUAACCUACCCUCGAGUGGGGAAGUAACUAGCCGAAGGUUAGCUAAUACCGCGUACGCUCCUUGGACUUCGGUUUCAGGGAGGAAAGCGAUACCGUGGGUAUCGCGCUCUUGGAUGGGCUCAUGUCCUAUCAGCUUGUUGGUGAGGAACGGCUCACCAAGGCUUCGACGGGUAGCUGGUCUGAGAGGACGAUCAGCCACACUGGCACUGCGACACGGGCCAGACUCCUACGGGAGGCAGCAGUAAGGAAUAUUGCGCAAUGGGCGAAAGCCUGACGCAGCGACG
rnacentral:rRNA from 1 species